AAUUGCUAAAUCACAUGGUAGAUCUAUGUUUGGCAAUUUGAGGAACUGCCAAACUGUUUCCAAAGUGGCUGUACCAUUUGC
rnacentral:miRNA from 1 species